GGGUCCCGUGGGGGUGGCAGUGGGGAGGGCUGCUCUCUCUCUGUGAUUUGCUCUCUUUCUGUCCCAGAGGACGGCAGCACACAGCUCCAGCAGGAGGAUCCUCUUGGCGGUGUUGGUGUCUCUCAUCAUCACCACUUACAUCACAGCCAUUUGUCUCAUCGAGCACACGAGCAGCACAUCCUGACGCUGGGACUCCUCUCUUCUCAACAUCCAGGUCUGCUGCCCCAAACCCACAGCCGCCUCCCAGCCCCACAGCACCAGCAAGUCACGAUGGAGACGGUUCUUUAAGAAGCUGUCGCCGCACCGAUGGCGCAGGAACGAUGGGGCACAGGGAUUGCACUUUGCAGAGCGCGUGAAGGACGAACCCAAGUGGCUCCGAGAUCUCUACGUGCCCCUGGAUGACCUGCAGAGGAACUCCAUCUAUCAGCUGUACCGAGAGCCUGAGGAGGAGGAGGAGGAGGUGUUCAGCAGGGCCAAACCAACGAUGCCUGAGGAGCAGCGCAGCCCCAGCACGUCCACCCCACAAGGCCCAGGAGGGUACAGCAGGAAGGAGCACUGAGCCCUGGAUGGCUUGGGAGCAGCGCAGCGUGCAUAGAGCCCAGCAUGGGCUGCUCUCCUAUUGACUGGGGUGGAUGCGCUGCCCCAGCACUGCUGGGUUUGCCAUUAAAGGCUGUAGGGUGUUC